AGAAAUCACCAGUCUUCUAUGUUGCUGGCGCUGGGAGUUGGAGACUGGAGCUAUUCGGCCAUCUUGUUCCACCCCCAGUUUAGUGAUUAUUGAGUUUAAAAAGCUAGGGGACAGAUACACUCUCAGGUCAUUCAUAAAUUUUCAGAUUGUGCACAAGCAUUUACAAUGCUCAUGGGGAAGGAGUAGGAAAUUGUCAGGUUAACAGAGAAGAGCAAACAGUCUUGGGACAGCCCAACAGUUUUCUUUACAUAUUGAGUUCAAUGAAACAUUCAUGUGGGAUACUUUCAGUAGGUAAUGGGAUUAUAGGCAUUUCUAGCUGGAGAUAGAACUCUGGUUGAAGAUGCAGGUUUAGAAUAAUUUUAUUAUAAUUAUUAGGCAAAGCCAUAGAUCUCAAUGAGCUUUUCCAUGAUGUAGUAGAUGUAGAAUAAAAAGAAAGUCAUUGACAAAACUCUGGGAAUAUCAAAAUUUCACAAGAGUCAAAGGACUUGGUAAAGGAGACUGAGCAGUGGCUAAAGAAACGUAGAAGAGGAGUCAGAGAAAGUGAUGUUGCAAAUAUCUUUUAAGUGUGAGAAUUUCAAGCAGUAAAAUUACUGAAAGGUCUACUGGCUUUAACUUACAAGUUCUUUACUGGUAAUCUGUUCAAAAGAAUUAUUUUAGAGUUAUUAGGUAUACUGUUGAUGUGGUUGAUAUUUCUGGUAUCCAAGAAGAAAUCUCCCGAGAUCCUACCUAACUUUUUGUAAGUAAAGCAGCAUACAUACACAGGGGUGGGAAAAUGUCUAGACUGAUUCAACUAGCCUAUCAAAAAUCUUGGAUGCAGUUCUUUCUUGUGAAAAAGCAAGGGAACUUAAAAAAUAUCCCUGUGGGCCGGGCGCCUUGGCUCACGCCUGUAAUCCCAUCACUUUGGGAGGCUGAGGCGGGAGGAUCAUGAGGUCAGGAGAUCAAGACCAUCUUGGCUAACACAGUGAAACCCCGUCUCUACUAAAAAUGUAAAAACAAAAUUAGUCAGGCGUGGUGGCGGGUGCCUGUAGUCCCAGCUACUCGGGAGGCUGAGGCAGGAGAAUGGCGUGAACCCAGAAGGCGGAGCUUGCAGUUAGAGGAAAUCACACCACUGCACUCCAGCCUGGGCCACAGAGCGAGACUCUGUCAAAAAAAAAAAAAAAAAAAAAAAAGUCCCUGUGAACAACUUACAGCAAAAAUGAAACAAAUGAAAAAGAAGCUUUGUGUACUACAAAAGGAACGAUCAGAAGCAAAAGAAAUAAAAUCACAGAGAAUCAAAAAAUUAAAUGGAAACAAGAGCUCUGUAGGGUGAGAUUGACUUUAAACCAAGAAGAAGAGAAGAAAUGCCAAUAUAUUAAAUGAAAAAAUUAGGCAAGAAUUAGGAAGAAUCGAAGAGCAACGUAAGAAAAAGUUACAAGUGAAGCAACUUGAACUGGCUCUCCGAAUAUACAAAAUAUGAAAUUGAAGAAUGUAAGAAGUAAUUUGAAUCAGGUAAAUCAGUCUCUGGUAAAAAUUUUAUAUUUUUAACUUUAUUUCUACAAUAUUACUUUUAAUAUCCCUUCAAUUUAGUAUGUAUUAUUCAGAAUUAUGAUAAUACUGCUAUAAUAUUUAGAAACGAGCUUUUGUACGUUUCAUUCAUAAGUUUUCAUUUAUCUUGGGUAUGUACGUAGGAAUGGAAUUGCUGGGUCAUAAAGUACCUAUGCAUAACCUUUUCAGCAAUCACCUCACAGUUUUUCAAAGUGUGUGCUAUUUUACUUUCCCACCGGCAAUGUAUGAAAGAUCUAAUUUCUCUACGGCCUCACCAGGCUGGAGUCCAGUGGAGUGAUCUCAGCUCACUGCAAGCUCCGCCUCUCGGGUUCACGCCA